rfam:Salmo salar isolate Sally breed double haploid chromosome ssa12, whole genome shotgun sequence.
GUGGGGUAUGGGGACAUCUACCCAAAGACUUUACUGGGUAAGAUUAUUGGGGGUCUAUGCUGCAUAGCUGGAGUGUUGGUGAUAGCCUUGCCCAUCCCCAUCAUCGUCAACAAC